rnacentral:tRNA from 1 species
UAGCUCAGCUGGUUAGAGCGCACGCCUGAUAAGCGUGAGGUCGAUGGUUCGAGUC